UACCUGGGGGUCUAGCCAUAUUGGUGUCGAAAAGUAUUCUACAUACACUACCGCUUUUGCGUAAUUGUACUGUCGAAAACGCUUCGUUCGUAGCCAAGACGCAUGUCGAUACAUUACCGCAAAGUCGACAGCGUAGAUGCGAGCUGCUGUUCGUAGCACCUUAUUCCGUCAUAUUGUCUCUGGAUUAAAUGUAUUCCUAAUGUCACUUUUAUAAACAAAUAAAAGUUAAAACUACAAUAUUAUUGUAAAUUUGCAAUAAUUGCAAAUUCCAAUGAUUGGAAGCUGCAAAAGGGACAUUAGAAUGUCAGCAAGGUCGGAACAAUUUUCGAUUUAAGUGGAAUUUACGGAAGGUGCAAAGUCAAUAUAUGAAUUUUAAUUGCAUGUUUAAAUUAAUUAUGGAUUAGGAACCUCACAACUAAUCUGCAAAGUGAAGAAGCAACAUAUUUUGUUACCGCUUAGAGGAAACAAUAGAAAUAGUACUGUGGAUUGAUAAAUAAAGAGUGAAAAUAAGGUUUACUAGAAGUUGAUAAGGAAUAGAAGGAUAGUCCAAAACUUAAAGGAAGGAAUUAAAAACAAUAGAAAAAAAACGUAGACUAGUGUGAACACUGAAAUUAGAGUUUGAUUUAAGCUUUAAUUAGGUUUGGUGUUUGUGUUUGAACAUUUUUAAUGUCAAUUUGUAAGCAGAUUUAUAUAUAAGUGUAGAUUUUAUUGGUGAUUACUACUAGUUGGAAUUAUCUCUGUUUAUGUCUAACAAACAAUUUCAGUUUAAGUUAGAGUCAUAAAGGUUGAUUGUUUAUAAUAAAUUUAUACUUUUAGAAAGUGAGAAUU